rnacentral:tRNA from 1 species
GGGGUUGUGGCUCAGCGGUAGAGCACUCACCUAGCAUGUGCGAGGCACUGGGUUCAAUCCUCAGCACCACA